CAAUAGCGUAUAUUAAAGUUGUUGCGGUUAAAAAGCUCGUAGUUGGAUUUCUGCUGAGGAUGACCGGUCCGCCCUCUGGGCAGGUAUCUGGCUCAGCCUUGGCAUCUUCCUGAAGAACGCAGCUGCACUUGACUGUGUGGUGCGGUAUUUAGGACAUUUACUUUGAGGAAAUUAGAGUGUUUCAAGCAAGCGCACGCCUUGAAUACAUUAGCAUGGAAUAAUAAGAUAGGACCUCGGUUCUAUUUUGUUGGUUUCUAGAACUGAGGUAAUGAUUGAUAGGGAUAGUUGGGGGCAUUCGUAUUUAACUGUCAGAGGUGAAGUUCUUGGAUUUGUUAAAGACGGACUACUGCGAAAGCAUUUGCCAAGGAUGUUUUCAUUGA
rnacentral:rRNA from 1 species